AAAAGAAAAUAACAAUGAUUCCCUCAGUAACGGCGAGCGAAGAGGGAUAAGCUCAAAUUUUAAAUCUGUUGGGUUUCACCUAACAGAGUAGUAUUUUGAARAAACGUUUUCUGCGUCCAGGAUUAGCCUAAAUCCUUUGGGAUAAGGUAUCAUGGAGGGUGAGAAUCCCGUUCAUGGUUAAUCUCAAGGAUGCUCUACGAUACGUUCUCCAAGAGUCGAGUUGUUUGGGAUUGCAGCUCAAAAUGGGAGGUAAAUUUCUCCUAAGGCUAAAUAUUGGCGAGAGACCGAUAGCGAACAAGUACCGUGAGGGAAAGAUGAAAAGAACUUUGAAAAGAGAGUUAAACAGUACGUGAAAUUGUUGAAAGGGAAACGAUUGAAGUCAGUCAUACCAACGGGAAAUCAACCUUUUGAGUUUGGUCUUGUGGGUUUCGGAAAGUUUAAAAGCCUUCGGAUUCGUUAGGAUUGGGCUCUUUUGGUGUACUUUCUCGUACGGUUAGUCAACAUCGGUUUUGAAUGUCAUAAAAUGACUGGAGGAAUGUGGCUUCGAUCUCGUAUCGAAGUGUUAUAGCCUUUGGUAGAUGUGAUGUUCGAGUCCGAGGAUUGCAACGGAUACCCUUCUGGGCUAUUCGUCUGAUCUCUGAUACGUUGCCUUGAUGUCGAAAGCUUGCUUAUGAUGUUAGGGUAUUACGGUCAAAAGGUUAGAACGGAUUAAAUUCGUUAAGGAUGUUGACGUAAUGACUUUAAACGACCCGUCUUGAAACACGGACCAAGGAGUCUAACAUAUAUGCGAGUGUUUGGGUGAAUAAACCCUUGCGCGUAAUGAAAGUGAUUUUGGUGAGAUCCGGGAACAAAUUUAUUUUCGGAGCAUCAUCGACCGAUCAGGAUAUUUUUUGAUAGAUUUGAGUAAGAGCAUAUCUGCUAGGACCCGAAAGAUGGUGAACUAUG
rnacentral:rRNA from 1 species